GAGGUUAAUCAGAGGAAGUUGUUCAGAAGACAAUUAACACCUUCUCUCCAACCAGCAGCUUAUUUGUAGGAACUGAAGCAAAGGGAUCAGGAGAGGCCUCUCUGAAAAUAUUCUAUCUGAGCAGCAACAUAAAGAAUGAGUAAGAACUGGCCGGCUGGAAACUGCAGCACAUCAAGCGGGUGGGCUGCUUGGCAGAGGAAAAAGCUUGGAAGGCCCCAAGAAUGGAAUAGAAGAGGAAAUCCAGGUUUAAUUUUGUUCAUUCUACCGUCGCACCUACUUCCACAGAAGAAAUCUUGGCUUCUGCUGUGAGAACCUUCUCAGGACUUCUGGGGGACAAUAAAGUCAGCAGAUUCGUGAUGAUCAGCUGCUCCUGAGCUGCGUAGAGCAACAGUCUCCGGACACGCAGGCUCAGCAGCCAUGGCUCACGGGCCCAGCCGCUCCACGGCAUGUGGGAUCUUCCCAGACCGGGGCACGAACCUGUGUCCCCUGCAUCGGCAGGCAGACUCUCAACUGCUGCGCCACCAGGGAAGCCCAAUAUAUAUUUUUUAUUAACACACAAGAUCUAGUUGGUCUAAUAGCUACUGUAAUUUCAAAAUAGUGAUGAACACAAAUGAUAUUCUGUGAUAUGAUAUGAAAUAUCUGUGAUUUCUAUUGGUGCCAAAGUUAUAGAAACUUUUAAUACCGCUGUGCUUUGUUUGCUACAUUCAUAAUAGAAGGAAAUGCUAAAUUUCAGUUUGAAGUUAGUAAAAAGGAUGUAAUUAUUUUCCAUUCAAAUUAAUGGUGUCUUGUUAAGAAACCUUGGUUUGGUCGUUGGGGGGGUUGCAUGAAACAGCUUGACUCCUGGAUUCAGAGGUGGGCAUGUAACCCAGUACUGACCAAUCAGAGCAGGGAUUGGCUUAGUGAUGGGCAUUUGAGCCAAACUGAUAUAAUCAGAGUGAAUCCUAGUCUUUUGCUGGACAACUGGGACAGUUCCUUUGCUGGACUUGCUAAGAGGAUUGGGUUUGGGCCUGGAGCAUACCACCUUGCCAUCACCGGGAGAGAACCUGUCUUAGAAUGAAGCAGACACAGAGGAAAAGAGAGCUGAGAAAUGAACUUCCACAUCUUCCUGGCAACAUUCCUCCUUUAAAUGUGUUAAUUAUGGAAGCCAAUACAUUACCUGUUAAAGGCAGUUUAAGUAGGGUUUUUUGUUAUUUGCAACCAAAGCAAUCACAACUAAUACUGUAUAGUCCCACAAAGUUUAGCAGAAUACGUGGCACAAAGUAGUUUGCUCAUGAAGGAAUGAUGAAUGAAUUUCAAACAAUGUAGCAACUUGACUGAUGUUAUUUUCUAAACUAUGCAUAUCUGGCUUGAUUGUGUAUUAAAAGAUGAAGGGUAUACUCAAAGUAAGCAUUCCACAGCCUUCUGUUGAUUGAAUGAAUAAAGGAAUGCAUCCAUUGUCAUUAUUUUCUAACCCCAAAUUUGCAUAUUCUUUAGUGAUAUAACCAGGACCAUAUAACCUGGAGAACAUAAGUCUAGAAACAUGAUGGACCAACAGUUACAAAUCAAGUCCAUGGCACAUUCACCAUGGGGAAAGCCAUGCAUCAAUUUGAAGGAAUAGGUAGAUCUAUAUGUACUGAUAUGGAAAGACCUCCAAGACACAUUGAGAAGGAAAUUACAAAAUAGUAAUUAUUAUAGUAGGAUUCUGUUUUUGUUUAAAAGUCUCAAUGAAACUUUGAGGGUUUCUAGGUCUUAUAAUGAGUAUAUAAAACAAAGAAAAAUACCCUUUUUUUUUUUUUUCUUUUCUGGAA